AUGGCCCAGAUGAUUGUUCUACUAGUGCUCCUCUCUUAUGGUUCAGGGUCCUGGGCCCAGUCUGUGCUGACUCAGCAGCCCUCACUGUCUGGGACUCCAGGACAGAGGAUGACCAUCUCCUGCACUGGAAGCAGCAACAAUAUUGAUAUCAAUUAUGUGAACUGGUAUCAGCAGCACCAUAAAAAAACCCCUAAACUCCUCAUCUAUGAUAAUAGUAAUCGACCCUCAGGAGUCCUUGAUCGCUUCUCUGGCUGCAAGUCUGAGAACUCUGGUUCACUGACCAUCACUGGGCUCCAGCCUGAGGAUGAGGCUGACUAUUAUUGUCAGUCUUUUGAUAACAGCCUUGAUACUCACACAGUGCUCCAGGCUCAUGGGGAAGUAAGACAAAAAACUCUUUACCAUCUGUCAUGA